AGAGUUUGAUCCUGGCUCAGGACGAACGCUGGCGGCGUGCCUAACACAUGCAAGUCGAACGGAGUUGAAAGGAGCUUGCUUUUUUCAACUCAGUGGCGGACGGGUGAGUAACGCGUGAGUAACCUGCCUUUCAGAGGGGGAUAACGUUCUGAAAAGAACGCUAAUACCGCAUAAGAUUGUAGUUUCGCAUGGAGCAGCAAUCAAAGGAGCAAUCCGCUGAAAGAUGGACUCGCGUCCGAUUAGAUAGUUGGCGGGGUAACGGCCCACCAAGUCGACGAUCGGUAGCCGGACUGAGAGGUUGAUCGGCCACAUUGGGACUGAGACACGGCCCAGACUCCUACGGGAGGCAGCAGUGAGGGAUAUUGGGCAAUGGGGGAAACCCUGACCCAGCAACGCCGCGUGAGGGAUGACGGUUUUCGGAUUGUAAACCUCUGUCCUCUGUGAAGAUAGUGACGGUAGCAGAGGAGGAAGCUCCGGCUAACUACGUGCCAGCAGCCGCGGUAAUACGUAGGGAGCAAGCGUUGUCCGGAUUUACUGGGUGUAAAGGGUGCGUAGGCGGAUUGGCAAGUCAGAAGUGAAAUCCAUGGGCUUAACCCAUGAACUGCUUUUGAAACUGUUAGUCUUGAGUGAAGUAGAGGUAGGCGGAAUUCCCGGUGUAGCGGUGAAAUGCGUAGAGAUCGGGAGGAACACCAGUGGCGAAGGCGGCCUACUGGGCUUUAACUGACGCUGAAGCACGAAAGCAUGGGUAGCAAACAGGAUUAGAUACCCUGGUAGUCCAUGCCGUAAACGAUGAUUACUAGGUGUGGGGGGUUUGACCCCUUCCGUGCCGCAGUUAACACAAUAAGUAAUCCACCUGGGGAGUACGACCGCAAGGUUGAAACUCAAAGGAAUUGACGGGGGCCCGCACAAGCAGUGGAGUAUGUGGUUUAAUUCGACGCAACGCGAAGAACCUUACCAAGUCUUGACAUCCCUUGACAGGCAUAGAAAUAUGUUUUCUCUUCGGAGCAAGGAGACAGGUGGUGCAUGGUUGUCGUCAGCUCGUGUCGUGAGAUGUUGGGUUAAGU
rnacentral:rRNA from 1 species